rnacentral:rRNA from 1 species
GAUGAACGCUGGCGGCGUGCUUAACACAUGCAAGUCGAACGAUGAAGCCCAGCUUGCUGGGUGGAUUAGUGGCGAACGGGUGAGUAACACGUGAGUAACCUGCCCUUGACUCUGGGAUAAGCCUGGGAAACUGGGUCUAAUACUGGAUAUGACUUCUCAUCGCAUGGUGGGGGGUGGAAAGAUUUAUUGGUCUUGGAUGGACUCGCGACCUAUCAGCUUGUUGGUGAGGUAAUGGCUCACCAAGGCGACGACGGGUAGCCGGCCUGAGAGGGUGACCGGCCACACUGGGACUGAGACACGGCCCAGACUCCUACGGGAGGCAGCAGUGGGGAAUAUUGCACAAUGGGCGCAAGCCUGAUGCAGCGACGCCGCGUGAGGGAUGACGGCCUUCGGGUUGUAAACCUCUUUCAGUAGGGAAGAAGCGAGAGUGACGGUACCUGCAGAAGAAGCGCCGGCUAACUACGUG